UAUUACUAAGCGUGUCCACUGCUGCACCAUCCACCCCGGCCCGAUCCACUCCCACCCCACCACUCUCUCUCUCUCAUCCUCGGUCCACCCCAUCCCGGGCGUCUCGCUCACCGGAGGAGUCUCGCUCGGCCUCCCCUCUCCCUGACAUAGCCGCCACCUCUCGCCCUCCCGUGAACUCCAUGAUGACGGCUGCCUGAUCUCCAUCCUCGCUUGCACUGCUGCCUCGCCGCAGCCCUGGUCUUCAAAUCGUGGCUGCCCCACUUCAACCUGCCCGCCGCCAGGUCUAGCAUACCAUCGCCGCCGGCCGGUAGAGGGAGAGGAAUAGACGCUCCAGCAACAGUGGUAUUCUAUUAUGCGUGUGUAUGUGGAGAAGAUAACUGGGUCGAUUGAUUUGAUGUUAAUUUGUUUGCUUCACUCUGUUUAUUUAUGGCUACGAUGGCGGCGGCGGCACACGAGAUGAGGCGCAGGUGGGCGCCGAGGGGGAGACCCAGCAGCCGGCGCUGGAGUACGAGGAGAGGAUCCACAAGUUCCCCGGUGUGAUGGUUGACGGGGAGAGACGACACUGCCGGUUUGCUGAAGUGGUAGGUUGCCAUUCAGAUAAGUGGAAGCCGGGUUUGGAGCCACCGACAUUGUCUUCCUUGGAUUCGUUCGUGCAAUAAGGAGGGGACCCGACCUUCUUCAUGUGUCGAUCAACAAAUUUGGACAUAGGACGUGAACCAACAAGUUUUCACUUUCCUAACGUGGGUGCGGGGGUGAUCGAGGAGAAUUACCGUGGCCUGGUGGGUGUCGUUCUCUUCAACCACUUGGAGGUGGACUUCACCGUGAAGCCCGGUGACUACUGCACACGGAUGAUCAUCCAGGUGAUCGCGCCAUAGGAAAUCGCCAAGGUGGAGGUCCUCGACGCCAUCGUCCGGGGGGAGGUCCACCGGCUUCUGAACUCCAAGCCUUGGUAGAUACAUCUAGAGAAGUGGUUUGUUUAGGUUGGUGGUGGAAUGCUAGGGAAGGUACCCACCUUUUAGAUGAUGGUUGUGUUCGUCUGAUGUUAAAUGGGAUGUCGUGAUUUCUUUCAGUUGAGAUGUUGUUCCUUUACACGAGUUUAUUUUGCACCGGGCAUGUCUAUUUCUAUCUAGGAAUAAUGCAUCUAAAUUUUAUUUUUUAAUUCCUAAUUAGCUAGUAGUAGCAUGGGAGGAAAAGUGCACGCUACUACUACUUAGGGUAGUAGUAGCACUGGUUGAGCUAGUAGUAGCGUGGGAGGAAAAGUGCAUGCUACUACUACUUAGGAUAGUAGUAGCGUUGCUUGAGAUAGUAGUAGCAUGGUUCCAUCCACGCUACUACUAACAGACGUAGUAGUAGCGUGGGUUGCAUCCGCGCUACUGUUAUCUACUUAGCUGUAGCGCGAUACUAGGAGCGCGGGUACCCGCGCUGCUAGUAGCCAGUUUACCUGCGCUCUAGUAGCCUUUUCUGUAGUAGUGGUGUUUUGGGCGUUGGUGUUUACCGUGGUGUUUGUAGGCCUCAUUUUUACGUCUGGUUUGUUGUUUUGGAUGUGAGAAUUAACGGUAUGUUAGAGUUUUUGGAGAUUAAUUUCAUCUGUAAUUUCUGAUUACAAGUUUUGGUGUUCUUGGUCGUUUUCCACACCCGCCAUGCAAAUGUGUUCUUCUUUUUCUGUUGUUUUACUUUCGAAUUGGCGUUGUAGGGAGAGAUAUGAGGAUUGUAUGAAAAUAUUUGCGUUGUCAAUUUUGCUUCUUUGAGUUGUUUCUACCCCGGAUUCCAAUUUUAUUUGGUCGUUGGCGGAGGUGGUGUAUGGCGGCUGACUGCAGCCUACAAUUUCUUGUAAUCUGGUCAAACUGUGUAAUUAAGUUGCAUGUUUUUCAGUGUUGUUUGAAUUGAUGCCAUAUGUGUAGUUGGACUCCUCCAUGUCAAAGUUGUCUUACUGUGCGUUGACAUCGGACUGCAACCAAAGAAAAGCGAGAUGGAUCCUAAGCUGGGAGAGGUCACAGAGGAGGAGGUGGAAUACAUCGUUGUGAGGGCUGCAACAGCGGAGCAGAGAAGGAGGAGGCACAGGUGCAGGCAGAUGGCACGACGUGCUGCGGAGGAGGAAGUGGAGGCAGGGUUCAACAGACGCCGUGCGUGCAAGGUGAUGGAUACUUGCAACUCCAAUGAACUGGAGCUUCUUUUCCCAGAUGGUAGGGGAAGGAACCAUAUUCAGAUCAUCAGUUGGGCUAGGGCGAGAGCAGCCACGGCUCCACAUCCAUCCCACCAGGGCUAAAUGGCGUCAUUUCUUUGAUCGUUAUGACUGAAGUACUAAAUAUUAUGUUUUUAAUAUUGUGUUGUGAGGGAGCAGAUGUUUGAAUGACUAAAUGAAUUCAACUGUCUAGCUCUGAAUGUGUUGUUUUAUCUUCA